UGGGGAAUAUUGGACAAUGGGCGCAAGCCUGAUCCAGCCAUGCCGCGUGAGUGAUGAAGGCCCUAGGGUUGUAAAGCUCUUUCACCGGUGAAGAUAAUGACGGUAACCGGAGAAGAAGCCCCGGCUAACUUCGUGCCAGCAGCCGCGGUAAUACGAAGGGGGCUAGCGUUGUUCGGAUUUACUGGGCGUAAAGCGCACGUAGGCGGACUUUUAAGUCAGGGGUGAAAUCCCGGGGCUCAACCCCGGGACUGCCUUUGAUACUGGAAGUCUUGAGUAUGGUAGAGGUGAGUGGAAUUCCGAGUGUAGAGGUGAAAUUCGUAGAUAUUCGGAGGAACACCAGUGGCGAAGGCGGCUCACUGGACCAUUACUGACGCUGAGGUGCGAAAGCGUGGGGAGCAAACAGG
rnacentral:rRNA from 1 species